rnacentral:misc_RNA from 1 species
GAGUUCGAACUAACCACAAAAACGGUAAACCAUCGCACCGCCUCACCUCAGACGGUGACGGUGUAGCGCAGAGUCUUCAUGGUUGCCUGCGCGACAUCUCAAGAGCUUCUCUCUCUUUUCUAGUUGUUCUUCACUCCGCUUUUGUGUUUUGUGGUUUCCGUUGGAUCUUCUCUAAGCUUCACCUCCUAACCCCAUCUCCCACCCCAAGCCCAUUCAGCAGGACCACACAGUGAGAGCAGCUGUCUCUCCUUCUUGAGGAAGCACCACCAGGCCACACAACGGACGGCCGAUUUAUUAUGGUGUGGAGCGAUCUUUUCCCUUUCUACGUCUCAUCAACACCACGUGCACGCGGGAAGCGACGGCGACACGGCAUAGGCAGCAACCACGCGUAGACAUCGCUGCCAUACAGACUCUCCGCAUACCUGGAAACAGAACAAGACGCCUUUCUUUGCUUUCUUUUUUUUUUGUGCGCGCCUUGGCCUUUGUUGUUUUCUUGAUUCGUCUUCCUCGUUGUGCCCACGUGGAUCUCUGCGAGUGGUGGCUUGUGCAUCUUUACACACACACACAUAUAUAUAUAUAUACGCACAUACACACGCGCGUUCGCCGAUCGCAGCGUUCUGUGGGUGGUGAAGCAAGCGAAAAACAAAAGAGGCACAAGGGCACGCAUCAUCCUGCGCGCACGUGGUUCGGUAGUUUGCGCGACAGGCCCCGGCUUCAGUUUUGGUGGCAGUGCCGCUGCCGUAUCGCGAUCUCCGACCACCACCAGCUUUUCCCCUGAUUCACCUUCGCCUUCAAAGACCUCACAGAUGCGCUCGAAAACACAGAAGAACCGGAGCCGCUACACGGGCGGUCCCGUGUCGAGGGUCCUCUUCGACAGCCACGCUGUGGACCUUUCAACCGACAACAGCCAAAAUGGUUCUCGGCCCGACACCCGGAGUGAGAGCCACGACGACGGCAGUGCACGCUGGAACCCGCACGGAGGUGCUGACGCAUACGGAAAGGGCCACGCCGAGAGAGGCGCUGGCACCGAUGUGAGUCCACCACCUCGGCUGCCUCUCACCUUCGCCUUAGGCGGCUUCGACACCGGUGCUGGGCCGCGGGGCGGUUACGCGGCGCGCGUGUACGAGGAAUCCGAUGACAACGAGGAUGCCGAGGACGCUGGUGAGGGAGGUGAUGACUUUGAGCCCGCACACGCCGAGAAGUACUGUAGAGAGGCGGAUGACAACGACGACGAGGAGCUGGGCGAUUACAGCCUAGCGGGAAACGGCGCGGCUGCAUCAGGGAUGUUCCCUAAAGACGCUUGUGCGCGGCACUUAGACGUUGAGGCGAGAAAGGCUGCACCAACUGCUGGUGCACAGCCCGUUGACAGAUUUGGCUUUCACACUGGGAAACAGGCUGAACCCAAUGUGCCGGGGCAGCAGAGUAUUGGCGCUGCGAUGUUUGCUGCCGCGAUGUCUUCAUCCGCUACCGCGGCUGCACCGGCGGCGUCAAAUACGUUCCGGCGUGCGACGCCGGUGGCUCGCGCUGCCUACAGUGUGGGGUACGACCACGCCGUUGGCGAGUCGCCUGCGGAUACGCUCCGUGCAUCACCACUGCGCGGUGAUGGUGCCGCUGUAUCGGCGGCAGCCACGAAGGAGGCCGGCUUGCUUGAGCGAGCCUCGCCAAAACUUACCACCACAGAUACCCUUGGUAUCGCAAGACGGGGCGGCCCUGACAUGACUGCGGCGUCGCAGUCGUUCGGCUACAGCAUGGGCGACGCUAAUCCAGUGCCUUCCGCUGACGCUCGAUACGUGCCAGCAGUGUCGGUUGCUCAUUCUGCAGCCGGCAGUAGAGCGGCCUAUAACCGCAAUUUGGGCACCUACAGUGACUUCAUUUCCGCCACACAGGCCUCCGAGGUCCCGCCAGCGCAUGGGACGACAAUCAGCCCGAAAGAGUCCAUGCAGGGGGCUCUCGAUCACCGGCCCUCAUCGACGACGUCGUCGCCGCUCUCGCCACAGCGCCCCACAGUUGGAGCGACGGACGACAUGCGUGCCCACCGGUGCGGUGACCACGCUUCGGCAACGGGCUUCGAUCACACAUUCAUGCCACCGGUGCUGGUGCUGGACGAGGACGCGAAUGUACGGAACAGUGACGACGAACCCUGCCGCCGCGACGCGGAGGGUGCAGAGCUGCCUGCACCGACGGAGCCGACAAUGGCGGCUAUCGCCGUCCACGCCGUGCCUUUGGCGACGGGGGGCAGCGCACUUGUCACUACAGGAGAGCCAAAGCCGCGGUUUUUCUCUGGUCGCCGCCAGUCCGCGGAGAACUUGCGGGCGAACCGGAGAGCCUCUGCAACCACGGCCGAUGCCACAAAGUCUGCCUGCGAGCAGGGGGGCCGUGUGCGGUCGCCUUCUAACAUGGCAGCAUCAAGGGUGCGGGAAAGCUUAUCCGCGGAGGUGGCCCCUCUCCCAACGCGGCAGCGUCCCUCGGAGUUGGUCCGUAGACGAGAGAAGACGGAAGAAGAGGCCGACGCAGUACACCACUCCGCCGCUUCAGAACGCAUAGAAAGACAUAGCACGGCCGCGAAGUCCGAUGCGCCGCCAGUGCGUGCACCGACCAUGGCCCUCAGCAUCUCUGUCACGCACAUGUUCAACUACUCGGAGACAGAAAGGGUGUGGCUUUCAUGUGACCAGUCGAGUACACUCCCGGUAUGUUCGAAUCAGAGGUCGACGUGUGUGAAUGGCCGCAAGGCACCACCGGCGACUGCAGGCUCUUUGGACAAGGCGUUGCCGCCUCCGUCUGCUUCUCCCGUGCAGGUGUCGCUCUACUGUCGUCCGUUGCUGGUCCAACUGCCGAGCCACUCGCUGCACACAUCUAUUCUCUGUGCCGCUGGUAACAGUGCUUUCCUGAGAGUGACUCUCGCCGUGCUCUACUACGCGCCGCGUGUCCUCGUGGGAAGUCUUCUACGGGCGCUUAUCCGCACCGCAGUGGUGUUCUUGGUACUGACUGCAGGACUGGUCACGAUGGAUGCUGCAUGGGGCCAGUGGCCAAUCCUGAGUGUCUACACAGCAGAGGCUCAAGGCAACGCUACGAUGAUGAUUCUCUCGACCCGCGAAUGGCUCGCCUCCCUGGGCAUUGCCAGAGAAUGAACUAUCUGCAGGUGUGCUCGGGUGCCGCGAGGCUGCGGCACGAUUGGGUCAGCUCGGAGGUUCUGAGCCGAGGGCGCGACGCAUCACAAAAAGAUGUAAGACGACGGUGGGCUGUGUUUGUUUUCCGUUUCGGUCGGCUGAGAUUCGCUCGCUGCUUUUGAGUGUGUGUCGGCCCUGCGCGUGCCCCUCCUCCGUGUUUCCGUCUCGUCUUUGCGGAGAACGCCAUAUCGUCACCACCCAAGAAAACAGGCGCCGUUAUCCCUCGCCUCCUCCUGGCUCCCUCUGCUGCUUGGCUUGCACGAACUCCACAGCGAGGGGUCGAGCGGCAGCACGAGACGGAGGUGCUGCGUCUUUACGUACGCGCAUUCCUCUCUGUCUCUCUUGCUCUCUGAGCGCUCUCGUGCACUCCUUGCAUGGGCCCUCACCUACCGGUGUCGCUCUCGCUCUUCCACUGCGUCUCCUCGCCCCUUCCUCUUUAG